CGGGUGAGUAAUGCUUGGGAAUAUGUCUUAUGUGGGGGACAACAGUUGGAAACGACUGCUAAUACCGCAUAACGACUACGGACCAAAGGGGGGGAUCUUCGGACCUCUCGCCAUUUGAUUAGCCCAAGUGAGAUUAGCUAGUUGGUGAGGUAAUGGCUCACCAAGGCGGCGAUCUCUAGCUGGUUUGAGAGGAUGAUCAGCCACACUGGGACUGAGACACGGCCCAG
rnacentral:rRNA from 1 species